rnacentral:rRNA from 1 species
ACGCUGGCGGCGUGCUUAACACAUGCAAGUCGAACGCUGAAGCCUAGCUUGCUGGGUGGAUGAGUGGCGAACGGGUGAGUAACACGUGAGUAACCUGCCCCCUUCUUUGGGAUAACGCCCGGAAACGGGUGCUAAUACUGGAUAUUCACUGAUCUUCGCAUGGGGGUUGGUGGAAAGGUUUUUUCUGGUGGGGGAUGGGCUCGCGGCCUAUCAGCUUGUUGGUGGGGUGAUGGCCUACCAAGGCUUUGACGGGUAGCCGGCCUGAGAGGGUGACCGGUCACAUUGGGACUGAGAUACGGCCCAGACUCCUACGGGAGGCAGCGGUGGGGAAUAUUGCACAAUGGGCGAAAGCCUGAUGCAGCGACGCCGCGUGAGGGAUGACGGCCUUCGGGUUGUAAACCUCUUUCGCUCAUGGUCAAGCCGCAGCUUUGGGUUGUGAUGAGGGUAGUGGGUAAAGAAGCGCCAGCUAACUACGUGCCAGCAGCCGCGGUAAUACGUAGGGCACGAGCGUUGUCCGGAAUUAUUGGGCGUAAAGGGCUUGUAGGCGGUUGGUCGCGUCUGCCGUGAAAUCCUCUGGCUUAACUGGGGGCGUGCGGUGGGUACGGGCUGACUUGAGUGCGGUAGGAGAGACUAGAACUCCUGGUGUAGCGGUGGAAUGCGCAGAUAUCAGGAAGAACACCGGUGGCGAAGGCGGGUCUCUGGGCCGUUACUGACGCUGAGGAGCGAAAGCGUGGGGAGCGAACAGGAUUAGAUACCCUGGUAGUCCACGCUGUAAACGUUGGGCACUAGGUGUGGGGGCCACCCGUGGUUUCUGCGCCGUAGCUAACGCUUUAAGUGCCCCGCCUGGGGAGUACGGCCGCAAGGCUAAAACUCAAAGGAAUUGACGGGGGCCCGCACAAGCGGCGGAGCAUGC